UCGAAGACAUUAUUAUUUUUUUUUUCUUGAAAACCCUAGUUUUGCUCCAUUAGAGAGAAAUAUAUUCAAGUCGGCAGAUCUGAUCAGUUCGAAUGGAGAGAAUCAUCGGAGGUAAAUACAAGCUCGGUCGGAAGAUCGGUAGCGGUUCUUUCGGAGAAAUCUAUCUAGCUACUCAUGUUGAUUCGUUUGAGAUCGUCGCAGUGAAGAUCGAAAACAGUAAGACAAGACAUCCUCAACUGUUUUACGAGGCCAAGUUGUACAAAGUUUUGCAAGGAGGAAGUGGCGUUGCUAGUAUUAGAUGGUCUGGAGUUGAUGGGGAAGAUAAUACACUUGUGUUGGAUCUAUUGGGUCCAAGUCUUGAAGAUCUAUUUGUCUACUGUGGAAGGAAGUUCUCUCCUAAGACAGUCAUGAUGCUAGCUGAUCAGAUGAUUACAAGAAUAGAGUAUGUACAUUCCAAAGGAUUUCUGCAUAGAGACAUUAAACCUGAUAACUUCCUCAUGGGCCUUAGUCGCAAAGCAAAUCAGGUGUAUAUUAUUGACUUUGGACUUGCAAAAAGAUAUCGGGACCAAGGAACCAACCGUCAUAUUCCUUACAGGGAGAAUAAAAACUUGACAGGCACUGCACGUUAUGCAAGCUGUAAUACUCAUCUUGGAAUUGAACAAAGUCGUAGAGAUGAUCUAGAGUCGCUUGGAUAUGUACUUCUAUAUUUCUUGAGAGGAAGCCUUCCGUGGCAAGGUUUAAAAGCUGCAACAAAGAAGCAAAAGUAUGACAAAAUAUGUGAGAAGAAAUUGGCGACCCCUAUUGAGGUUUUAUGCAAGUCAUAUCCGGUGGAGUUUGCUUCGUACAUGCAUUACUGCCAUUCGUUGAAUUUUGAUCAGAGACCUGAUUAUGGAUUCUUGAAGCGAUUAUUCCGUGAGUUGUUCAGUCGCGAAGGAUAUGAGUUUGAUUUCGUAUUUGAUUGGACCAUCUUAAAAUACCAGCAGUCACAAAAGAGCAAACCUCAGCCACCCCCACUUCCUGCUGAGGGCAACAGUGGAGCAACUGUAACUGAUGUCGAUAAGCAUCAAGGCAAUCAUGCAUCAUAUUCCAUGGGGAUUUCAGAUCAGACGAAGCUAGGGAAUGGUGCUGGUCAAGCCAUCCGCAUGCAAUUUAAGCCACCUACAACAGGAAAUUCGAACUUUGACAAUCCCUUGAAGAGAAAUAUAUUGAGCAAUUCAGACUUGCCAUCAACAUCAUAUUCUCCUCCUGUAGUCUCUAAACAGAAAGCCUCAAGACCUGCUGAAAACAACACCAGUUCUUCUCAUGCUACUAAUGGUGAUAAUACUCGUCCUUCAAGCAGCUGGAUUCCAUCUCUCCACCGAAUUUCUUCUGCAAAAUGAUGAGUGCUUCAGAUGAAAAGAAAUCUGAUAUCAGCGAUAGUGAUAGUAGGUGGCUGGCGGAGGAAACCGUGACUGCUUUUGCUCUCACUCAACUCAGUAUGUAUGUCAGCAAGGUUAAGGAAAAGCCCAACUGCCAGUGAAGGAACUUGGUAUAUCAUCAUCUCACUCUGCAGCCAGUCAUCCAGGUCUUGUGUCUUUGUUCACAACAAGAAUAGAGACUGAAAGGCGCAUCCGACAACAUCUUACCAAAUUAAAUGCAAUGGCUUGCCGGUUUAUGCAUAUAGAUUCUCGAGAAAAAAUGGUAAGUAGUUUGUAGGUGUCUUUAAGAUGAGUUGAUGGUAAGUAAGUGGUUGGCUUUUUGAUCUGGACUCUUCUUAGUGAAAUCAAUAUGUUGAUGAUAUUGGAAUUCUUUCCAGUUGACCAGAGCAAGAAUUGUGGCAUUCACGAAAAAGUUUGGUAAUGUUCUAUUUACUUUCUCUCCUUCAUUAUGUCACACUUAAUCAUUCCCCAAG